UGGUGGAAUGCGCCACAUAGCACGCGUCGUGCAUGUGGCGUUGCCGACGUCCUUUUUCAACAGAGGGGGCUAUAUAUCGGACAGGAACGCGGGCGGGAGGGACAAGCCACAGAGUGAGCUCAGUUAGUGGGAAGGAUUUGCUCAUGAAAUACUACUCAGUUCAGUUUGAUCCAGGAAGAGAGGUUGGCGCUGUCCAAGAAUCAAUCUCAGAUACUGGAGUUUACUACCAGCUUUGAGUAUUGGCUUGUGAUCUGACCUCCAAGCUCACCAUCAUAGUACACCACACACCUCUCCAUGUCACCAUACUGUCUGCUUGGAUGUCAAGGAAUUCUUGCUACAUCAUCACAAGUUUUUAGGUCAACUUGACCUUGACUGAUGAUGGCAUCACACCCCUGGCAUUGGGUUGGCAUUGCUUGGUACCUGCAUUCACUGCCUUCAUUGGCUAGCACCUGCUUGUGGAACGAGGUUUAAUGGACAAACCAAUUCAAUUGGAGGGCAGCUUCAGCAGAUUCCCUGUCAAGGAAGACAUCUGGCUGCAGAUCAUCAAACCUUAGAAAACCCACUGGACAUCACAGUACCAUUUCCAAGGCAAUGUGAUCAGUAUCAUGGAUCAGACAUCAUGAGAGACGACUUACACGUACAAGUCAUUUGCUGGAAAUGGACUGCAUCCAGGUUCCAAUUCACUCAGUCAGUGGAGCAUAUCCUCCAAUGGAAGACAGCCCUAGUGAAAUGACAUCUCUAAUGGAACUCACAAGAGACAGCCAGAGAAACAGCAUUACUCCAGAAGGACAGAUGAAAUUAAGUUUGUUAAUUUCCUGCCGAUGGACUGGUCAGCCACUUUUGAAGCCUUUACGUGUCCAAGUGUUCAUUUCAAUAUUGGAUUCUGUCAAAUAUGCACGUGCAACAUGUACAUCAGCCCAUGUGAGUUUACAUUGUACUUUUCAUCAUUGCUGGUACAAGACUGUAUGAAGGAAGCCUGUGACUUGGGAUAAUUGGAGAUGGCGUUUGACAUCGAGCAGUGUACAUGGACAGUACAUGUAUGUACACCGCUUUCCUAGCAGGAAGGAUCAGUACGCCACUGUUGACUGCUGUGCUAAGAUGCCAGGAACCCAUUGCGUCAGACAUCUAGAAUUCUACAUGGAUUGCAAAUCUCAGAUCUAGAGCAGGUCACUGGAACUGAGUUUCAGAAAGUGACUUUUCUGGAUCCAUUUGACUUCCAACCCUGUCCCCUUAGUGCCACAUCUUGGGAUCCAAACUUGAAGUUACCAUUUGGGGGACUUGUGGACAACCUCAGUACAUGAACAAUGCUGUGUUAUGGACACUUCUAAAAUGAAGGACUCUAGAAAUGGUUUAAUUAUCCAACGCACAGAAUGUGCCAUAACACUGUGCAAUUGGAAAGCAUUUAACCAGCCCCCCUGCAGAAUAUCUGAUAUCAGAAAAUUGAAAUUUGAUAUUUACUUGUCAGUAAAAGUUAAGAUGCUUUUGAUAAGUUCAAUUUUCAAUUGGUGGAGAGAGCAUUUGGUAAUUUAUAGAAUAACUGAAAUGCACAUAAAAGUAUUCAGAAAAUACCAAAAACUCUUCCGAAAAUGUAAACAAUUUUAAACUAAAAAGUCUGACCGCUUACUGCUGCAAGGAAAUAAGCUGAAAGAAAAUUCCAAUGUAUUAUUGACACUAUCUUUAAAAGUCCUGCAGCAUUCUUAUGGGGGCUGGUUACCUGAAGGGUAUUCAUUGCUUGAGUACAUUUGCCUUGUAGUAUGCCUGUUGAGGGACUGGGUGCUGGAUUGGUAAACAAUACUUUGUUAUCAGUGGUCAACAGUCACUACAGUGUACAGAGUGUCAAUAGAGAAAUGCUCUUCAAACUUUUUGUCAAACUAUCGAGUUGCACAUUGCUUCUUCAUGGGCAUUCUCUUCAAGUAUAAAAACCUGAUAUUUCUAUGUUACUCUAUUGUUGAUUUUGCAAGGUUUCUCUGGUUUAUAGUUGAAAGUAUUUGAUGCACACAUGAGGUGUUUCAGAGUUUCCUCAAACCCACACCAAAACCACAAAAAAUUGACAAAUUCCUCAAACAUUCAAUGUUUACCAAUCUCGUGCCCAGCAUCUUGAGUAUAAUCAGCACCGGCACACAUCCAAAUCACAUCAUUUAAUAGUUUUGUUCUGAUUACGAAUGUGUAGUAUUCAUUUACAGUGUGAGCAACAUCAGACCAUGAGAAGAUAGUUUACUCCUUCGAACCAUGCAUGAACCAUCAAAGUGCUAGUAAAUUUACAUGUAUCUUUAAAGGAAGUUUAACUUAUUGCUCUUUUUCAGAGCUACAUUUCUUUUUCUUGUUAGUCAAUACGGGCAAUUCACAAUGCAGAGUGCCAACACGAAUUUACCAUGGAGAGGCUUUCAUUGCAGUGCAUCGUGGGAAAACACGGCACAGACCUAUUUACUUACUGUGCUGUGGGCAUGAAAUUUUCAUUUUACCUGAAAGUUUGAUUGUCUCGGUUGAAAAGAUUCAUUCAAUGUAACACCAGGAAUAUUCGUGAUUCAAAAAUGCUCAGAUCACUCAAAUUUCCCCAUGUUACAUGCCGACAUACACUUUAUCGCUAUGAACCGCCAUGCUUGUGUCAUUCGAAAACUUGAAAAAUUGCCUUCCGUUGGCAAACUUUUGGUGGUGCACUGUAUUGUGAAUCGCCUGUAUUGAAAGUGCUGGUUAAUUUCUAUUCAACAGUCACAAUCUCCAUUCACGUCCAAUUCUAUCAAAUGUAGGUGUGUGGUCUUAAAGACCAGUCCACUUCAGUUGAAUACUCUUUGUUAAAAAUGCAAAGAAAAAAUAUCUCUUAUUUUGAAAGAAUUAAAAUUUCCUAAAAAUUUCAUCUUCAUUAACAAGAUUAUUGCAUGUCACUUGAUCAGGUUUUAUCUUUUUCAAAAUCUACCAGUAAUAUUCACAGUAUGUCACUCUAUUUUAAGGUUGUGUUAUUGGCUAUUUUAUCUCAAUUGGAUCAAGUGUACUUGUAUGUUUUUGCAGAAUUAAUUUUGUGUGUGCCAGGUGCUGGUUAUACAUCAUGAAGCCACUGUUAACAUUACACCAUACCUUUCCUUCACCAACAGGCAAACUCAAAUCUCUCGAAGCACCCUAGCGCAUACAAGUCCCCCCUGGUGUGGGCUGCGUGUUCCCCGUCCACAGGCACCGACAGGUUCCGGUGAGUUGCCCUGCUGCAUAACUUGUGAUUGGUUUGUUCAAGAUGUGUUACAACUCUCAGAUCAUUAAAUGCUGGGGUUGGCAGCAACAUGGUAAGGAUCCUGUCAACUUUGACAAUCGGUUUAUCUUUUCUGCCAAGCAGAUGCGUGUAUCCAUGACUCUAAACAUUGCAAAUCAAAGGAACUGUUUUUCACACCUACUCAAAAUUGUUCCAUCGAUAUUUCAGAAAUUCCAGUUGAUCAUGGUUUGGAUCCAGCAAAGUGAAAUGUUUACAAAUGGUCACUUUUGUUCACUUUUUCUGUGACAUUUUUAAUGUUGGAUGAUUCUAAGGCAGUUUUCUCAGUCUCCUGUUGUGGGUAUCUUCCAUGGUAUAACUUGACAAACUUCUGUCUUUUGUUGUACCAACUCAGUCCACAGUCGGUUCUUUUGACAAAAGAAUUUUUAAAAAAGUAAAUCAGCAAAAGAAAUAACAUUCACUAAGUAAUUAACUGCACCUGAGCUACCGGUAUAAUAACCC